rnacentral:rRNA from 1 species
CGUGUGAAAAACUCCGGUGGUNUAAGAUGGACCCGCGUCUGAUUAGCUUGUUGGCGGGGUAGGGGCCCACCAAGGCGACGAUCAGUAGCCGGCCUGAGAGGGUGGACGGCCACAUUGGGACUGAGACACGGCCCAAACUCCUACGGAAGGCAGCAG